AUGGAUAUGGUUUGUGCAUGGGCAGCAUUCAUUAGAGGUUUUGCUUUGUUGGGAACGGAAAGUGUAACGCAUCUGCUCCACCUAGUUUAUCUUAAUCAUACCAGUUAUAAUGAAUGCAGAAUGAUGGUAUCGGCUGCACCUACUCCAAAUGAUCCUUGGUCGAUGGGACAAGCGGAAGGAAAAGGGCAUCAAGUAAUUUUGAGGAGACCUCCAUUGAAUUGCAUGGCAAUAUAUGCCAAAGGAGCACGUAGUAAAUUGUUAAUGUUAUCAUGUGCGUGCAUGUCACCUCAGCCAGGACGAGGCUAG
rnacentral:rRNA from 1 species